rnacentral:lncRNA from 1 species
AGAAGCGAGGCAGCCGUGAGGCGGAGGACAGGCUGGGGGAUCCCAAAGGGUGCGCUCCAGCCCCCAACCCAGGCACUGGGACUCUGGUGGCACCCUGGGUGGCAGGCAAGCCUUGAAAUCAAGUGCACGAGCCUUGGAAAGGAGGACCGGGAGAGUUAUGGCAUUUAUGAAUGAAGAAGAGAAAGAGAAUCACUCGGAUGGGAAAAGUUAACUGGAUUGUUCCCACCUGCAUGGAUCACCGGAAGCAACUUAGCCGUCUCGCCUUGCGGCCUGGAACCCCUGGCAAUUUCCGGAGCACCGGCAAGAGACUUUUGCACAGUUUCUGCUUGGAGUCUACCGACUGUCUGUCUCAGAGGUCUGGACAGCUGCUUGUUACAUUUGGCUCACGCUAGCUUAAAAAAGGAAUUUAUGGACCUUACUGCAGAACGUCCCAAUUCUUCAGGCCAAGGGUCCAGCUGUGUCUCCAGGGCUGCGUGGCUUAUUGAAAAAGAGAGUGUAUGGUGGAUUUCAAUAUCUAUAUUCUACAAAAAAUGUAAAAGGGGCAGGGGACGGGAACAAAGAAACCAGUGCUGGUGAUCCUGCCCCCACAGUAAGGUCUGCUUUAGUGUGGACAUGGGACAGGGGCCAGCCCCUGCUGCUCCCUGGGGGAACACAGGUCCGUGGGGGUGGCUCACCGUCAUGUAUGUGAUUUUGAUGUUUGUACAUUUGUUGUACCACAUGAACCAGUCUUGGACGGCUGUUCUGAGUAAAUGGGAUGAUGUGGGUAAAGCCCCCAAGACCAGAGCCUGGCACAGGGCCGUGCUGGAUAAUGCUGACUCAUGGUGAUGAGGGGAAGGAGGAGGCAGGAUGCCAUGGGUGAGGAGUCCAGGCUCCAGUGCUGCUGAACCACCAUCCACCAGUAUGAUCUCAGCAAGCCUCUCUCCACCUGGACCCAGAUGAUUCACCCGUUAAACAUCCCAGGCACAUUGAAGGGAGAUGAACAGCGUCCAGCAUGGUCCUCAGCUGUGAGAAGCCAUACACUCGCCUUUUCCACCCUACAACUUUCCGUCAUCUGGGGUGCAGGUUUCUUUCCUCUCUUUUUACUUAUUACAAGGUAAAAUACAGUCUUAUUACAGAAAACUAGAAACCAGAAAAGCCCAUCACACAGUCAUUCAUUCAACAAAUGCGUAUUGGGAAGGGUGGGGAUGAGCCCCUGGUGGAAAUGGGGUGAAGCUGUGGACUUUCUCUGGGUGCGAUGAAGGCUGACGGAGGGCUUUGAGCAUCCUCAAGAUUCAGAAGUCUGUUCUCAGUCAUCAGCAGCUGUACCAGGAGAGGAAGAACCUCUGAAGUGUUCUGGCUCCAAAAGCUAGUGAAAGUGCAGAUUUCCUGAGAAGGAGUGAAGCUUAGGGCCCUGCCAGGCAGUGAUGCUUUCUCAACUUUGGGGGCAGUAAAAUGUACAGACUCUGGGGAAGGAGACCAGGAAGGAGGCUGCAAAGUGUGCAUGCUCUGGGAAGGGGGCAGGGAAGGCUGGCAAAAAGCUGUUGGGGACCCAGCCAGGCUGCUUCCCUUGGAGGCCCAGCCUGAGAUGUGUUUCCCACCAUAUAUGGCAGAAAUGAUUUCAGGUGCUAUGUAGAUAAGCCACGAACUAUCAUUGAAUCUUUUCUUGGUUGUAUUGUGAAAGAAAAAGUCUCUGUUGGGUGCUGGUGUAUCUUCGACACCACUUAACACUUGUCAAGCUCUCCUUUACUGAGGUAAAGCAGUCCUCAGGCUCAGAGCUUGUGACCAGGGAGCGGUAUCUAGCCAAAAUUUUAUUUCAAUGCUUUGUUUUCAUUGUCUUUAAAACAAAAGAUGGUUAUCUUCCAUUUGCCAUGAAAGAUACUGCUUCCCAUUUCUGUUUUUUACUCAUUUUUCAUUAAGGUAUAAUUUGCAUGCAGUAAAGUCUCGUCUUUUUAGUGUACAGUUCUGUGGAAUUUCGAUAAAUGUAUCCAGUGUGCAACCAUCACAUCAAGAUAUAGAAGGGUUCCUUCACCCCUAAAUCCUUCCUUGGGGAUGACAACCUCUCUUCACCCUCAGUCCUUUGCAACUAAUAAUCUGUUUUCUUUUCCUAUAGUUUUGUCUUUUCUAGCAUGUCCCAUAAAUGGAAUCUUAUAGCACGUAGCCUUUUGAGUCUUGCUUCUCUCACUUAGCAGAAUGCAUCUGAUAUCCAUUCACAUUGUGCCUGUAUCAGUAGUUCAUUCAUUUUUAAUAAUGAGUGGUGUUCAGUUGUAGGCCUACACUAUAAUUUGUAGAGGGACAUUAGGAUUGUUUCCAGAUUUGGCAGUUACAAAUAAAGCCCCUAUAAACAUUCACGUACAAGUUUUUCAUGAGCAUGGGUUUUCAUUUCUCUUGGGUAAGUACCGAUAAGUAGGAUUGCUAUGUUGUCUAAUACAUGCAUGUUUAACUUUGUAAGAAAUGGCCAAGCUGUUUUUCAGAGUGGCUAUACUAUUUUGCAUUCCUACCAGCAAUGUACGAGAGUUCCAGUUGCUCCAUAUCCUCAUCAGCACUUGAUGUUGUCAGAUUUUUUUUUUUGUUUUUGUUAGUCUAAUGGGUAUGUACUAGUAUCUCACUGUGGUUUUAGUUUGUAUUUUCCUGAUGACUAAUGAUGUUUAACACCUUUUUAUGGGCUUAUUUAAAAUCACUAUAUUUUCUUUGGUGAAGAUUUCAAACCUUUUGCCCAUUUUAAAAUUCGAAUUGUUUGUGUUU